rnacentral:lncRNA from 1 species
UUCCUGCCGCUUUCAUUUCCUUGUCUGGGAUGAUGGGAGUCAUUUUGAUUUUGUGCCUUCGUGCUCCAGAUUACUGGCUGGACACCUGAGAUAUCGUCAGCAGUACCAGAUGCCUCAUCACCACCAACUCCAGCAGUCAGCUGCCCUCAGAGAUGGAAGAGAGGGCACGAGCAAGUGAGGUUCUGGUCCCCGCAGCACUCAAGAAUGGAACCAUGGGAACUAGCAUGCAGUGAGGAUGCUGGUGGCUACCUUCUGGCUCCCAGCUCUACGAUGGGUAACGUCAUUGUGCCAUUUUAUGUACGAAGAUGAAGGACCCUGACAACAAAACCUAAAACAAACCCUCACACUAGAGCAACAAAGAGGAAAGCUCUCGUUCUCCAGCAGUCGUGGGCGUGUACUGAGACUGCCCUUCCUUUUGUUUUCACGUGUGGCAGAAACUCAGGUUGGUCCCCAGGAGACAGG